CAAUAGCGUAUAUUAAAGUUGUUGCGGUUAAAAAGUUCGUAGUUGGAUUUCUGCCAAGGACGACCGGUCCGCCCUCUGGGUGAGUAUCUGGCUUGGCCUGGGCAUCUUCUUGGAGAACGUUGCUGCACUUCGCUGUGUGGCGCGGUAUCCAGGACCUUUACUUUGAGGAAAUUAGAGUGUUUCAAGCAGGCUUUCGCCUUGAAUACAUUAGCAUGGAAUAAUAAGAUAGGACCUCGGUUCUAUUUUGUUGGUUUCUAGAGCUGAGGUAAUGAUUAAUAGGGAUAGUUGGGGGCAUUCGUAUUUAACUGUCAGAGGUGAAAUUCUUGGAUUUGUUAAAGACGGACAACUGCGAAAGCGUUUGCCCAGGAUGUUUUCAUUGA
rnacentral:rRNA from 1 species